CAGGUCUCCUGAGGGAGCAGCGGGACUUAUGGGCAGGGGCAGGCACCGGGGAGCCCCUUGGGGUCGGCAGGGGGCUUGGCCAGAUGAGCUGUGUGCGUGGAAACUCGCAGGCCACACAGGAAAUUAGCCACUGUGUGGUGCUGAUGCAGAAAGAAAAACGGCCGAGACGCGCUGAGAGCAGGACCCGCAGGCACGGCGGCCCAGGGACGGGGAUGCGGCCAGUGAGAGGACGCAGAAUGAGAUCACAUUGACUUCUCAGUUGCUGACUCUCAACUGCUUAGAAAGGGGCAGAAACGAUAAAAACAGACACCCAUGUGCCCCACACUAAAGAGCUGUGUUAAUAUUGACGGUAUUUGCAGAGUCCCUUGCCCACAGCCCCACCCACCACCCCUGUGACUGGGGCACUGCCCUCCUGCCCUCUCGCCGUCAGCCUCUUGCAGCAAGUAUUUCCAUGAACACCAAGUCGCAGAUUUGUCCACGCUGGUGCCCGCAGGCCUCAUGGGAGGAUUUGAUGAAGAUGUUAAAGCGAAAGUGGAGAACCUUCUUGGGAUUUCCAGCCUGGAAAUAACGGAUGCUGGAGGGGGCCGGCUCUUUCCCUGGCAGCAACAUCCUUGCCCUUGUCACACAAGUCAGCCUCCAUCUGCGCAGCUCUGUGGACGCGCUGCUGGAGGGCAACAGGUAUGUCACUGGCUGGUUCAGCCCCUACCACCGCCGGCGGAAGCUCAUCCACCCGGUCAUGGUUCAGCACAUCCAGCCCGCAGUGCUCAGCCUCCUGGCGCAGUGGAGCACCCUCGUGCAGGAGCUGGAGGCUGCCCUGCAGCUGGCUUUCUACCCGGAUGCCGUGGAGGAGUGGCUGGAGGAAAACGUGCACCCCAGCCUGCAGCAGCUGCAAGCUCUGCUGCAGGACCUCAGCGAGGUAUCCGCCCCCCCGCUGCCACCGACCA
rnacentral:sRNA from 1 species